rnacentral:lncRNA from 1 species
GCACUGCAGCAGCACCGGGACUUGACAGCCCUACGGCUCGAUCAGCUUUCUGUUUUCAUUGCCUUACGAUGCCAUGAGUGGAACUAUUGUCAAAUCAGAGUUCACUCCCCAGCUUUUCAGUCUUUCCCCUAAUUCUUGCUCUAUCAGAGGUCGAGGACAACAGUAUAAUGAUUCAUAGGUUCUACUUCCUGGCAAGUAAUCAUUUUCCCACGGGCCCUUGUGAAUUGAUGAAUAUGAAGACACUAAGAAAGCAGAAAUAGAACUGAGAAGAAUGAAAUAACUGUCUCUACCUUUCUCGAAUUGUCUAAUAUGGAAAGAAUGAAAGACAGCUAAUAAGCAACUCUCUGCAAGAAGACAUAUGGCUUAGGUUCUGCUGAGCUAUUGAAUCUACUUGGAGAGAGUCAAACACAGAAUCCCUUUGAAUUUAAUGGCCAUUCCAGGUGAUUUGAACAGCCAAAUAAGAAACAGGUCCUCUUCAAUGUACAAUCUGCCAAGUAUGAAGUCUGAAUGACCAUCAUUAUUAUGUAUUUAAUGUGCAUAGAAAAUCUAUCUGCAACCUUCCAGAGUGUACCAGAAGUUUGGAAUGUACAUUAUUAUUGGCUCCAUCUCAAACCACUCAUAAAUCAAAGAAAAUAGCAGUUCCAGAGGAAUCAUCAUAGAGGCUUCUAGGCCCCCAUGCUGUGUGAACCUGGUGAGAAAGGGAAGUCUGCUCUCACUGGACACUGGAACUGUUUGUCUCUGUCUCUGCUGUACUUUCCCUGCCUCUACCUCACUUAGUAAAGAAAUCAUCUUUGCUUGAUAACUAAAACAACCAAUAAGGCUGAGAAAGGGGAAAACCCACAUCUGGAUUUAAAUACAAGGUAUUGGGCCAGCUGCUGGGGAUUAAACUUUGAACAAAACAGAUAGAAUCUAUGUCCUCAUGGGAGUGGCUAAUGGGAGAGUCGGAACAAAAAAAUAGCCAAGGAUAAUCCAGCAAAUGAUUUGGUGAAUGCUAUCAAAGAGAGAAAUACACAUGCUCUGGGAACACCAAACAGAGUCUUGCUCUUGUUGCCCAGGCUGGAGUAUGAUGGUGCGAUCUCAGUUCACUGCAACCCCUGCCUCCCAGGUUCAAGUGAUUCUCCUACCUCAGCCUCCUGAGUAGCAGGGAUUAUAGGUACAAGCCACCACACCCGGCUAAUUUUUAUAUUUUUAGUAGAGACGGGGUUUCACCACAUUGGCCAGGCUGGUCUCGAACUCCUGACCUCAGGUAAUCUGCCCCUCGGCCUCCCAAAAUGCUGGGAUUAACAGGCAUGAGCCACAGCACCUGGCUGACUUUGCCUGUUUUAUAAUUUCACACAAUAAAAUCAUGCACUGUGCAUUUCUUUGUAUUGUCUCCUUUCACUCAGCAUAAUGUCUGUGUGAUUCAACCCUGUGGUGAUGUGUCAUUUUUUUAAAAAAAAUUAAGAUAUUUUAUUAUAUGAACAUACCAUAAUUUGUUUAUUCAUUUGGUGAACAUUGUGUUGAUGCCAGGUUUGGGCCAUUAUGAAUAAAGCUGCUUUGAAUGUUUAUGUACAAGUCUUUUGUGUACACAUGUGUUUUUAUUUCUCUUGAGUAAACACCUGGGAGUGGGAUUGCUGGGUUUUAUGCUUAGGUAUGUUUUUGACUUUGUCAGAAACUGCUAAACUGCUUUUCAAAGUAGUUGUACCAUUUUACACUCUCACAGGCAACGCAUGAAAAUUCCCUUGGCAACGUUUGAUAUUGCCAAUCUUUAAUUUUAGUUAUUCUAGUGGGUAUAGAGUAAUAUCACAUUGGUUUUAAUUUAUAUUCCCAAAAUGACUAAUGUUUAACAUCUUGGAUAUUCACAUGUCUUUGUGAAGAGUCUACUAAAAUCUUUUGCCCUUUUAAAUAAAUUGUAUUAAUUGCCUUCCUAUUGAGUUGGAGAUAUGCUUUAUGUAUUCUGGAUAUACUCCUGUAUCCAUUAAGGUGUUGCAAAUAUUUUCUUCCAG